rnacentral:misc_RNA from 1 species
UCCCCGUUCUCCUGGGCAGUCCCCUUAGAGUUCCCAACUGAAUGCUGGCAACUAAGGGCAAGGGUUGCGCUCGUUGCGGGACUUAACCCAACGUCUCACGACACGAGCUGACGACAGCCAUGCAGCACCUGUCACCGACCAAUUGAAGAGCUCCGUCUCCGGAGCCCCGAUCGGGAAGUCAAGGGCUGGUAAGGUUCUGCGCGUUGCUUCGAAUUAAACCACAUGCUCCACCGCUUGUGCAGGCCCCCGUCAAUUUCUUUGAGUUUUAACCUUGCGGCCGUACUCCCCAGGCGGAUAACUUAAUGCGUUAGCUGCGCCACCGAAAGCCUAAGGCCCCCGACAGCUAGUUAUCAUCGUUUACGGCGUGGACUAC